rnacentral:miRNA from 1 species
UAGCAGCACGUAAUGGUUUGUA